rnacentral:rRNA from 1 species
UACCAGCUCUCCGAGUGGUGUGGAUGUUUAUUGGGCCUAAAGCAUCCGUAGCUGGCCAGGUUAGUCCCCUGUUAAACCCACCGAAUUAAUCGUUGGAUUGCGGGGGAUACUGCCAGGCUAGGGGACGAGAGAGGCAGACGGUAUUUUCGGGGUAGGGGUGAAAUCCUAUAAUCCCGGGAAGACCACCAGUGGCGAAGGCUGUCUGCUAGAACGCGCCCGACGGUGAGGGAUGAAAGCUGGGGGAGCGAACCGGAUUAGAUACCCGGGUAGUCCCAGCUGUAAACGAUGCAGGCUAGGUGUUUGGGCGGCCACGUGCCGCUCUAGUGCCGCAGGGAAGCUGUUAAGCCUGCCGCCUGGGGAGUACGGUCGCAAGAUUGAAACUUAAAGGAAUUGGCGGGGGAGCACCACAAGGGGUGAAGCUUGCGGUUUAAUUGGAGUCAACGCCGGAAAUCUCACCGGGAGCGACAGCAGUUUGAAGGCCAGAUUAAAGGUCUUGCCAGACGAGCUGAGGGGAGGUGCAUGGCCGUCGCCAGUUCGUGCCGUGAGGUGUCCUGUUAAGUCAGGCAACGAUCGAGACCCGCGUCCUCUGUUGCCACUGGUUUUGAGCCAGGCACACUGAGGAGACCGCCGCUGAUAAAGCGGAGGAAGGAGCGGGCCACGGCAGGUCAGUAUGCCCCGAAUCUCCCGGGCCACACGCGAGCUGCAAUGGCAGGUACAAUGGGUUCCGACCUCGAAAGGGGGAGGCAAUCUCGAAAGCCUGCCGUAGUUGGGAUUGAGGGUUGAAACUCACCCUCAUGAACAUGGAAUCCCUAGUAAUCGCGUGUCACUAGCGCGCGGUGAAUACGUCCCUGCUCCU